rnacentral:rRNA from 1 species
CUCUGUGACUCCUACGGGAGGCAGCAGUGGGGAAUAUUGCACAAUGGGCGCAAGCCUGAUGCAGCAACGCCGUGUGAGUGAAGAAGGUUUUCGGAUCGUAAAACUCUGUCCUAAGGGAAGAAACAAAUGACGGUACCUUAGGAGGAAGCCCCCGGCUAACUACGUGCCAGCAGCCGCGGUAAUACGUAGGGGGCAAGCGUUAUCCGGAAUCACUGGGCGUAAAGGGGUGCGUAGGCGGCUUAGCAAGCCAGGGGUGAAAGGCAUUGGCUCAACCAAUGUAAGCCUUUGGAACUGUUAGGCUUGAGUGCAGGAGAGGUAAGUGGAAUUCCUAGUGUAGAGGUGAAAUUCGUAGAUAUUAGGAGGAACACCAGUGGCGAAGGCGACUUACUGGACUGUAACUGACGCUGAUGCACGAAAGCGUGGGUAGCGAACAGGAUUAGAUACCCUGGUAG